rnacentral:rRNA from 1 species
GUGGGGAAUCUUGCGCAAUGGGCGAAAGCCUGACGCAGCCAUGCCGCGUGAAUGAUGAAGGUCUUAGGAUUGUAAAAUUCUUUCACCGGGGACGAUAAUGACGGUACCCGGAGAAGAAGCUCCGGCUAACUUCGUGCCAGCAGCCGCGGUAAUACGAAGGGGGCUAGCGUUGCUCGGAAUUACUGGGCGUAAAGGGCGCGUAGGCGGACAGCUUAGUCAGAGGUGAAAGCCCAGGGCUCAAACUUGGAAUUGCCUUUGAUACUGGCUGUCUUGAGUUUGGGAGAGGUGAGUGGAACUCCGAGUGUAGAGGUGAAAUUCGUAGAUAUUCGGAAGAACACCAGUGGCGAAGGCGACUCACUGGCCCAAUACUGACGCUGAGGCGCGAAAGCGUGGGGAGCAAACAGGAUUAGAUACCCCAGUAGUCC